rnacentral:other from 1 species
CGGCGUCUGCGGUUCGCGUGAUAGGCCACCAUCUCAGCGACCGUACCUAUCUCUAUAGGGAGCUGUCACUGCCCGGGGCCGUGGCCCCUUGCAAACGGCGCCCACCUGGUUAGCCAGGUCCUAGAGAAGGUUAGGCCGAAACGGUCCUCGCGGAGCCGC